GGAUAAUUAUGUCAGCUCAAGCCUCUUGGCCUGCAAAGAGAGGUUAAUGGUCUGCCUCUUGGAUUUCGAACACGAGAUGUUAAGUUCCAUUACGAUGGGAAGGGUAACUUGUUUUUCGACUCUUGAGCUCUGUAGUUUGCCCCUUUGAUAGAUAAUGAUAUUCUUGUAAAAGCUAGAGUGGGAAGUUUGUAUGCAUCUUUUAAUUGUCUGGCUUUUGAUCCUCUUCCCUUGGAAAACCAUUUCUUCAUUCUGAUGUUGGUUUUAAAUAAUUUUCUUUUUGCCUUCCUUUUC
rnacentral:misc_RNA from 1 species